GUCAAUUUCAUAGAGUGAUUAAGGAUUUUAUGAUUCAGGCUGGUGAUUUUGUAAAGGGUGAUGGUAGUGGAUGUGUUUCCAUCUAUGGACUCAAGUUUGAUGAUGAAAACUUUACUGCGAAACACACUGGUCCUGGCCUUCUGUCCAUGGCAAAUAGCGGACCAAAUACCAAUGGUUGUCAGUUCUUUAUAACAUGUGCAAAAUGUGACUAGCUUGACAACAAGCAUGUUGUCUUUGGGG